GGAGACUAGACUGACUUAUCCCCCAAAGGCAAAACAAAACAGUUUCUCCCUAUAAUAUUUACAAGAAAGCAUCAGUAAUGAAAAUCAGCAAUUGGUAUAUGCAACAGAGAAUUUGACAAAUAUGUACCCAUUGAAUCAAUAUCCGCAACAAAGAACGAACCUUUUGCUCUGUCAGGAAACCAUUGUUCUCCGAGAACAGCAGCUUCGAGCUGGAGAUAUACCAUGAAUAGUGAACAAACAUUACCAAGAACAAGUUAACUUGGAUUCUACUCGUACCAAUGGGAAAGCCAAGGGUGAUCUAGGGCCUCUUUGGCCGUAAGACGUUUUUGAGGAUUUAUCUCAAGCAACUUUCUUACAAAAUCAAGGAAUAAUGGAUCAGAAACUGACAGCUGAUGCUCCAAUGACGUUUCCUCGGGGAUGAUGUAUUCCAAUAGACUAGUAUCCUCAUUUAUAUGAUAAAGGUCAUAAUCCUUUGUGAAAUAUUUUUGUGUCUCUUGUCCCCUUUCUAACAUGUCCAUGUCUACAGGACCAAGCAUU
rnacentral:misc_RNA from 1 species